GCUUGCAGUAGACUAAGUAGUAGUAAGUAGUACAUACUCUGUAGUUCAGGUUUUAGUAAAGCAAUACAUUUUGGGGGAUUACACAUAUAUGCUUUCUAGCAAAGCCUUACAUAAGGAUUGAGCAUAUUUAACAUAUAUUGUGGUAAACUUGAAAUAUCAGCAAGAGCCCUCAAUCAGAGUGCAGGUGAAGUUCUGUAGACCGGACCCAGACAGAUCUGGUCUGGGGUGUCGUAUGCCAUUAGCCAAAGCUAUUUGAAACAGCCAUGACACAGGCCUGGUGUAGCUCAGAGGGGGAAUAGUGUUUAAUGUCAACUGGAAUCCAGAGGAGAACACUCUGAGGGGCAGAGAACAAAACGGAAAAUUGACUACCACUGUCUGUUUCACCCUCGUUAUCAGAUCAAGAUCAGCGCGAGGAAGAGAAACGAUGCUUUGAUGAGCCCCUUGGAAGGAAAAGUUGUGGGAGAUCGAUGGGACUACACGACACAAUCUGCUUAUUGACAAGCAGCUACAGUGAGCAUCUAAUCAAGGUGCUAAUACAAAUUGGGACUUCAACAGACAAGCCAUACAGUAGCUUUCUGGGAGACUUAUUGGCCUCUUUCUUUACUAGAGGGCUACCAAAGUCUUGGCAUGGUUGACAGCAAUAACCCUGCAGGCUCUCGCAAGGUUUCCCAGAUCUUCAGCAAGGCUGAGCAGAUAACUAAGGAGGGCUGGUAAGAAGAAAAACAAACUUCAGGACUUUGGACAGCGUCUCAUGUCAUUGUCGCUCUCACC
rnacentral:lncRNA from 1 species